UUUUACCGCCCAUUGCUUCAUUGAAGAAUCGACAUCAUCUCCUACUAAUAAGCAAUUUGGUUACCUUCAACUCAUUCCCCUCGUAGCAAUUUCAAAAUCUGUCUUUUCCAUAAGUACAAUCGCAUAAAAUAAGCUCCCUAAAACCCUAGCGCCCAGGAAGAAGAUAAACACUUUGAUUUGUGCACCAACUACUACCACUUUUGUUGAUACAACAUUAUUCCAGUGCUUGGUUCCUUCUAUUGUUACUGAAGAGCUUAGAGAAAAUGUGUAUAAAACUACUGGAUUAACAUGUAGUGUUGGAGUUGCACCAAAUCGGUUACUUGCAAAAGUUUGCUCAGAUAUAAACAAGCCAAACGGACAGUUUGUUUUACCUAAUGAUUGGGUUGCUAUAAUGACAUUUAUAUCCUCACUUCCUAUACGAAAGGUAGUGCAAAAUGACUUAUAUACCCUUUACCCUAAUUUCACUUUUUUGUCUUACCAAAAUUCAUCUUUUAGAUUCGGGGAAUUGGAAAAGUAACAGAGCAUAUCUUAAAAGUUGUAUUUGAGAUCAAGACAUGUGUAGAUUUGUUGCAAAAAAACUCCUUACUUUUUGCACAAUUCUCUCCUUCAUCUGCAUCUGAAGGGUAUUGUUUUGUUUUUGAAAUUUUAAUUUUUGUUAGUAAAAAGACGAUACUACCCCUGAUGGUUUUUGUACAAUGUAGAGUUAUUUGUGUCUGUAGGGUUAGGACUUGGGGGAACAGAAGCACCGAAUGUUAGAUCAUGAAAAAGUAUGAGCAAUGAGAGAACAUUUUCUGCAACUAAAUAUGAGACCUUUUUUAAUCAGAAGUUAGGUCAUUUAUCAUUUUAUCAUUUUUUUCUGCUGACAUGGAGAAGCAAGGUAUACAUGGAAAGACAUUGACACUCAAACUAAAAGCCGCAUCAUUUGAGGAUUGCGUAUGUCUCGUUUUAAUGAAGAUAAAGGUGGCAGUGGUGUAUCUGAUCCUACACAAAGAACCCUUUUGAAUUUUAUAAAAUCUGGAGAUGAUAACAGGGAAAGUGUAGAUAACGAGCAAUCAGAUUCAGAUACAUGUUUUGAUCAUUUUUCUAAAAAGAAAAUUUAUCGCAAUAUCAAGCUCUAAGCUUUGAAGACUAAAAGAAUUUAAGUUAUAAUUUAAUUAAAAUUAUUUUUAAAUUAUUCA